AAUUGGUUCCCUCGUUUAGAAUGCGGAUGUUUGCUGUCACCGAGAUGUUGAUGUUUUGGGAUGGGUUGAGGUUGUUGACGAGGAUCCGGGAUAAAAGGUUAUAUAUUAUUUUGACAAGUACUAGCUAACCCCAAGACAUCCGUGUCAUAUCCUAUAUAAAACAGAACUAAGACUGUAAAAUUCACUGAUUACUUUAAGAAUCGUAGCAGACGGUUUUCUAGCUUGUUUAACACUUUUUAGCACAGAAACUUUGAAGAAAAUGUUGGCGUUCAAAGCAUUAAUGUGCUCACUUUUGGUGAUUGCAAGUAUUUUUAAUAUGGCCAGUGCCCGUACGUGCACUGGUAUACAGUUAAGCAGUAAUGGCUAUCGGUAUAAUAGUCAGGUGAUUGCCGGUGCCAUCCAUAUCGUAGCUAUGGACGUUGUGAGGAAAAUUUCUCGUUCGUCUUGUAAUUUUGAAUACAGUUAUGGCUAUUAUGGAAAUACUAUUUGGGUCAACCAUGGAUGUAGAGCAGAUUUUAGAGUUUGUUAUGAAGGUACAUUCUCCAUAGUUUCUUGCAGUAGUAUUAAGUACCGACCAGCCACGUGUCCGA